rnacentral:rRNA from 1 species
UACCAGCACCCCGAGUGGUCGGGACGAUUAUUGGGCCUAAAGCAUCCGUAGCCGGUUCUACAAGUCUUCCGUUAAAUCCACCUGCUCAACAGUUGGGCUGCGGAGGAUACUAUAGAGCUAGGAGGCGGGAGAGGCAAGCGGUACUUAGUGGGUAGGGGUAAAAUCCGUUGAUCCAUUGAAGACCACCAGUGGCGAAGGCGGCUU